GAUGAAGAACGUAGUGAAAUGCGAUAAGUAAUGUGAAUUGCAGAAUUCAGUGAAUCAUCGAAUCUUUGAACGCACAUUGCGCCCCCUGGUAUUCCGGGGGGCAUGCCUGUUCGAGCGUCAUUUCACCACUCAAGCCUCGCUUGGUAUUGGGCAACGCGGUCCGCCGCGUGCCUCAAAUCGACCGGCUGGGUCUCCUGUCCCCUAAGCGUUGUGGAAACUAUUCGCUAAAGGGUGUUCGGGAGGCUACGCCGUAAAACAACCCCAUUUCUAAGGUUGACCUCGGAUCAGGUAGGGAUACCCGCUGAACUUAAGCAUAUCAAUAAGCGGAGGA
rnacentral:misc_RNA from 1 species